UACGUAGGGGGCAAGCGUUGUCCGGAAUCAUUGGGCGUAAAGCGCGUGUAGGCGGUUCAGUAAGUCUGCUGUGAAAGUCCAGGGCUCAACCCUGGGAUGCCGGUGGAUACUGCUGGGCUAGAGUGCGGAAGAGGCGAGUGGAAUUCCCGGUGUAGCGGUGAAAUGCGCAGAUAUCGGGAGGAACACCGAUGGCGAAGGCAGCUCGCUGGGACGGUACUGACGCUGAGGCGCGAAAGCGUGGGGAGCGAACAGG
rnacentral:rRNA from 1 species